GAACUAGGGAAAGGGGUUGUGCAUCAGGCGGACGGUGCUGGGGGGCAUGGGUGUGCCUUCCUUGCGUGAGAAGGAAAACAUUCUGUCACCAGAAGGCAGUGCCCAGCGAUGCCCUGCAGCCACAGAGACGAAUGUGGACGGCCAGAAGCAUUCCUGCACUAACGGCAACUCUACGAUGUGUCCGUGACCCUCAGAGAUCCUUUGCCCUGGGAAUCCAGUGGAUUGUAGUUAGAAUACUAGGGGGCAUCCCGGGGCCCAUCGCCUUCGGCUGGGUGAUCGACAAGGCCUGUCUGCUGUGGCAGGACCAGUGUGGCCAGCAGGGCUCCUGCUUGGUGUACCAGAACUCGGCCAUGAGCCGCUACAUACUCAUCAUGGGGCUCCUGUACAAGCCUGAGGAUUCAUCCCCCCUUGGAUGGAAAAUGCAGUUUUUGUGGGAGACGGAACUGGAGGGUACGGAGAGCUGACUGCACAUACAAAUAUACAUACAUGAGUACAUACGUUCUUAUAAAAUAUAAACGUGUCACAGUAAAAUCGCU
rnacentral:sRNA from 1 species